rnacentral:rRNA from 1 species
GGGCGUUAAGUUGCAGGGUAUAGACCCGAAACCCGGUGAUCUAGCCAUGGGCAGGUUGAAGGUUGGGUAACACUAACUGGAGGACCGAACCGACUAAUGUUGAAAAAUUAGCGGAUGACCUGUGGCUGGGGGUGAAAGGCCAAUCAAACCGGGAGAUAGCUGGUUCUCCCCGAAAGCUAUUUAGGUAGCGCCUCGUGAAUUCAUCUCCGGGGGUAGAGCACUGUUUCGGCUAGGGGGCCAUCCCGGCUUACCAACCCGAUGCAAACUGCGAAUACCGGAGAAUGUUAUCACGGGAGACACACGGCGGGUGCUAACGUCCGUCGUGAAGAGGGAAACAACCCAGACCGCCAGCUAAGGUCCCAAAGUCAUGGUUAAGUGGGAAACGAUGUGGGAAGGCCCAGACAGCCAGGAUGUUGGCUUAGAAGCAGCCAUCAUUUAAAGAAAGCGUAAUAGCUCACUGGUCGAGUCGGCCUGCGCGGAAGAUGUAACGGGGCUAAACCAUGCACCGAAGCUGCGGCAGCGACACUGUGUGUUGUUGGGUAGGGGAGCGUUCUGUAAGCCUGUGAAGGUGGCCUGUGAGGGUUGCUGGAGGUAUCAGAAGUGCGAAUGCUGACAUAAGUAACGAUAAAGCGGGUGAAAAGCCCGCUCGCCGGAAGACCAAGGGUUCCUGUCCAACGUUAAUCGGGGCAGGGUGAGUCGACCCCUAAGGCGAGGCCGAAAGGCGUAGUCGAUGGGAAACGGGUUAAUAUUCCCGUACUUGGUGUUACUGCGAAGGGGGGACGGAGAAGGCUAUGUUGGCCGGGCGACGGUUGUCCCGGUUUAAGCGUGUAGGUGUGUGUUCCAGGUAAAUCCGGUUCACUUUAACACUGAGGCGUGACGACGAGGCACUACGGUGCUGAAGCAACAAAUGCCCUGCUUCCAGGAAAAGCCUCUAAGCAUCAGGUAACAUCAAAUCGUACCCCAAACCGACACAGGUGGUCAGGUAGAGAAUACCAAGGCGCUUGAGAGAACUCGGGUGAAGGAACUAGGCAAAAUGGUGCCGUAACUUCGGGAGAAGGCACGCUGACACGUAGGUGAAGUGAUUUACUCAUGGAGCUGAAGUCAGUCGAAGAUACCAGCUGGCUGCAACUGUUUAUUAAAAACACAGCACUGUGCAAACACGAAAGUGGACGUAUACGGUGUGACGCCUGCCCGGUGCCGGAAGGUUAAUUGAUGGGGUCAGCGCAAGCGAAGCUCCUGAUCGAAGCCCCGGUAAACGGCGGCCGUAACUAUAACGGUCCUAAGGUAGCGAAAUUCCUUGUCGGGUAAGUUCCGACCUGCACGAAUGGCGUAAUGAUGGCCAGGCUGUCUCCACCCGAGACUCAGUGAAAUUGAACUCGCUGUGAAGAUGCAGUGUACCCGCGGCAAGACGGAAAGACCCCGUGAACCUUUACUAUAGCUUGACACUGAACAUUGAGCCUUGAUGUGUAGGAUAGGUGGGAGGCUUUGAAGCGUGGACGCCAGUCUGCGUGGAGCCAACCUUGAAAUACCACCCUUUAAUGUUUGAUGUUCUAACGUGGACCCGUAAUCCGGGUUGCGGACAGUGUCUGGUGGGUAGUUUGACUGGGGCGGUCUCCUCCUAAAGAGUAACGGAGGAGCACGAAGGUUGGCUAAUCCUGGUCGGACAUCAGGAGGUUAGUGCAAUGGCAUAAGCCAGCUUGACUGCGAGCGUGACGGCGCGAGCAGGUGCGAAAGCAGGUCAUAGUGAUCCGGUGGUUCUGAAUGGAAGGGCCAUCGCUCAACGGAUAAAAGGUACUCCGGGGAUAACAGGCUGAUACCGCCCAAGAGUUCAUAUCGACGGCGGUGUUUGGCACCUCGAUGUCGGCUCAUCACAUCCUGGGGCUGAAGUAGGUCCCAAGGGUAUGGCUGUUCGCCAUUUAAAGUGGUACGCGAGCUGGGUUUAGAACGUCGUGAGACAGUUCGGUCCCUAUCUGCCGUGGGCGCUGGAGAACUGAGGGGGGCUGCUCCUAGUACGAGAGGACCGGAGUGGACGCAUCACUGGUGUUCGGGUUGUCAUGCCAAUGGCACUGCCCGGUAGCUAAAUGCGGAAGAGAUAAGUGCUGAAAGCAUCUAAGCACGAAACUUGCCCCGAGAUGAGUUCUCCCUGAGACUUAGAGUCUCCUGAAGGAACGUUGAAGACGACGACGUUGAUAGGCCGGGUGUGUAAGCGCAGCGAUGCGUUGAGCUAACCGGUACUAAUGAACCGUGAGGCUUAACCUUAC